CAGACUGUCAGCAGGAACAAAGGAAACGACGAACACCGGUGAAACUGCGUCUGUAGCUCCAAUACUAACAGCUUCUCAUUUCAGUCCUUUUUGGAUUAAACGCCRUUGUCACCAGCACAGGCUGAACCUCGCUGAUCUGUUCAAUCACCCGGGAGCGCUGAGGCAGGACCCCGUAAAGUGUCGCUGGAAAAUUCAGGAGAACUGGGCAAUUAUUUCUGAUGUAUCUACUUGGACAAAUGCUGGCAUUCUGAGCAGACCCAGAGGUUUGUGUCCUCAUUAUUGAUACUCUCCACACUGUUCAGUUCAAGCUUUGACGAGACGUCCAGUUUAGUCUUGAGAUCGAUGGUGCGUUACUAAUUUUAAGAAGAUUUUCAGUCAUGUUUAUUAGAUCACGGGUGAGUUGGUCAUUAAGGGGAUGAAGCUGAAAUGUGAUUGGCCAUAUUUUAUUAGUAUGAUAAGGUAAUGCAAAACAGAAGAUGGUAAUGUGAAUUACUGAACUGUUUUAGCAAAGCUUUACAAUUUCCACACUUGAUCAUAUGCCAAUAACUAGAACUUGAGUGUUUCAAUAAAAUAUUUGUUUUACUGAAUAUAAAUUGGAAAAACAAUAUGCCUCAUGCAAGAAAAUUUUUGUAUUUUUAUCCUAAAUUUCUCUUACUUUUGUUUGAAGGAAGGGCUCAUGCAAACAUGCCACGACAGAUUCAGCAAACACUUCUAUCUUCAGGAAAAGUGUGUUAAAAAGCAGCGUAAGCAUGAUAACUGCCACAUGUACGUGCAGGUGCUCAUGCACAAGGAGUGGAAAUUAGCAUAACUACCACCCCAAAAACACCA